CUCUCAUAUUCACCUCAUUCAUCGUAUGUUCUCUUGUACGCCUCUUCGUAUGUCCCGUUCAUGCAUCUCUCACGAUUCACGGCAAUUGUUCUUGGAGAACUGGGAAAGCCAAAAAUUAGCCCAUUAAUUUUCUAUUCUACGCGGUAGCUACGUGUAUUUCCUCUGGGUUCACAGAACCUUAGAUUUCUUCUCUCAGUUUCUCUUCUCUCUCAUUCUCACAUCUUGUGAUCAAAUUCCCACAGGAGGUUGUAUUUUAAAAUGCGAAUUUUUCCUGAUUUUCGUUUUCCUCUUACCUCUUUGUUUUACUUCCAUCCUUUAUGAAGCAGCUUGAUUUUGCAACGGGCCCUUUUGUUUCGAAGCUACGGGUUUUGCUAGCCGAUUCACAUAAGGAGCUGCUUCAGUUGGAAGAAUGUGUCAAGCUAUUAGAGGAUGUGUACCCUCAAAGGGAAGCAGUAAUGGCCUGAACGUUAAUAUGUGCGGAGCAUUAUUUUGCAAUUUUUCCUCUGGUAAUAAUUUUUGUGCAUGAAUUCACCAGGCAGGGACUUCUUGGGCUUUUUGAUAGUGCCUGGUACCUAGCAAGAUCUGUGUUGGGAAUCUCAGGGUGAAUGUGGAGAAGAAGGUGACAGGAUGACAGGUGGGCAAUCAGAGCUGAUCUCUACAACAUGAAGUGUUCGUGUUGCAUGAGCUCUAUUCGGUGCAGAAUUACCUCUUAAACACAUCUUUAUAUUGUUAAAAAAAGUUGUGGGUGAGCUUGGGAUGGGAUUGAACCUUAGAUCACCCAAGAUCAAAGAUAUGACCAGAGUGUUGUAUAUGGUUUUGUAAAGUAUAGAGAAAGACAUGCUUCUAAGAUUCCUGCACUAUUCUUCUGCAAAAGCUCAGUUGAAACAUUGGAGGCGGGCAUAAGGGCUCUUUCUAACAAAGGCAAAAUUCGAAGGUGACAUUUGUGCUAUUGGCCCUCACUAUUUGCUGUUCAAUACUUUAUCAAAUCCCAUUCUCUACGGUCAUAUGACUUCUCUGACAUAUUCUAAUUAGCUUAUUCAAUUAGUAACUAUAUUUUCCAGCCAAAUUAUUCUGUACGUAGUUAAGAUUUUGCAUUAUAUUUA